rnacentral:rRNA from 1 species
UACGGAGUAUGCAAGCGUUAUCCGGAAUUAUUGGGCGUAAAGGGUCCGCAGGUGGUGAAUCAAGUCUGUUGUCAAAGCGUGGAGCUUAACUCCAUAAGGGCAAUGGAAACUGAGUGACUAGAGUACAGUAGGGGUUGCGGGAAUUCCAAGUGUAGCGGUGAAAUGCGUAGAUAUUGGGAAGAACACCAGCUGCGAAGGCGCGCGACUGGACUGAGACUGACACUGAGGGAAGAAAGCUAGGGGAGCGAAAGGG